rnacentral:rRNA from 2 species
GAGUUUGAUCCUGGCUCAGAUUGAACGCUGGCGGCAUGCCUUACACAUGCAAGUCGAACGGCAGCGGGGGAGAAGCUUGCUUCUCCUGCCGGCGAGUGGCGAACGGGUGAGUAAUACAUCGGAACGUGCCCUGUAGUGGGGGAUAACUAGUCGAAAGAUUAGCUAAUACCGCAUACGACCUGAGGGUGAAAGUGGGGGACCGCAAGGCCUCAUGCUAUAGGAGCGGCCGAUGUCUGAUUAGCUAGUUGGUGGGGUAAAGGCCUACCAAGGCGACGAUCAGUAGCUGGUCUGAGAGGAUGAUCAGCCACACUGGGACUGAGACACGGCCCAGACUCCUACGGGAGGCAGCAGUGGGGAAUAUUGGACAAUGGGCGCAAGCCUGAUCCAGCCAUGCCGCGUGAGUGAUGAAGGCCCUAGGGUUGUAAAGCUCUUUGUGCGGGAAGAUAAUGACUGUACCGCAAGAAUAAG